rnacentral:lncRNA from 1 species
AAAAAAAGAGAUGAAAUUCAUUUUAAGUAAGUUAGAAGAGCACAGUAAUACUUGGCACAGAAGUAUUGGGCAUGUUCAAAAAGCAUUACAUGUGCUGUGGAAAGGAGAAAAUGUCAGAUACACAGAAAGACUGGAAACUCUUUUGAGUCCUUUUACUUUCUGUACAUACAUGCCUUGGAUUGUUUUCCAAAGUCAACACUUGACAGAGAUUGAGGAAGAAGUAGGAAGGCUCUUUUGUACCAGUAUGUUCAACAUUCCUCAAAGGAAGUGUGAAGAUGAAGAAUCAGGAGGAGAAAAGACAGCUUGACUUCUGUAUCAUUCAGGAGAAUAAUGGCAAAACACCUAGCAAUGAAAAAAGCCAUUAGCAUGUGCUUUUCAGUCAUGUUCACUCUGCUGCCACCUCUCAGA